UACAGAGGUCUCAAGCGUUGUUCGGAUUCAUUGGGCGUAAAGGGCUCGUAGGCGCCAUCUAAGUCGGACGUGAAAUCCCUCGGCUUAACCGGGGAACUGCGUCCGAUACUGGAGGGCUUGAGUGUGGGAGAGGGAUGCGGAAUUCCAGGUGUAGCGGUGAAAUGCGUAGAUAUGCGGAGGAACACCGAUGGCGAAGGCAAUCCCCUGGGCCUGCACUGACGCUCAUGCACAAAGCGUGGGGGAGCAAACAGG
rnacentral:rRNA from 1 species